AGAGUUUGAUCCUGGCUCAGAUUGAACGCUGGCGGCAUGCUUUACACAUGUAAGUCGAACGGCAGCGGGGGCUUCGGCCUGCCGGCGAGUGGCGAACGGGUGAGUAAUGCAUCGGAACGUGCCCAGUCAUGGGGGAUAACUACGCGAAAGCGUAGCUAAUACCGCAUACGCCCUGAGGGGGAAAGCGGGGGAUCGCAAGACCUCGCGUGAUUGGAGCGGCCGAUGUCGGAUUAGCUAGUUGGUGGGGUAAAGGCCUACCAAGGCGACGAUCCGUAGCGGGUCUGAGAGGAUGAUCCGCCACACUGGGACUGAGACACGGCCCAGACUCCUACGGGAGGCAGCAGUGGGGAAUUUUGGACAAUGGGGGCAACCCUGAUCCAGCCAUGCCGCGUGAGUGAAGAAGGCCUUCGGGUUGUAAAGCUCUUUCAGACGGAAAGAAAUCG
rnacentral:rRNA from 1 species